rnacentral:rRNA from 1 species
UGAGGAAUAUUGGGCAAUGCCCGCAAGGGUGACCCAGCAACGCCGCGUGGAGGAUGAAUGUCGUAAGAUUGUAAACUCCUGUUAGAGGGGAAGAAUAACUAAGUUUGGAGCUUAGUAUGACUGUACCCUCAGAGAAAGCCCCGGCUAACUACGUGCCAGCAGCCGCGGUAAUACGUAGGGGGCAAGCGUUGUACGGAUUUACUGGGUGUAAAGGGCGCGCAGGCGGAAUGGAAAGUCAGUGGUGAAAUCCUACAGCUUAACUGUAGAACUGCCUUUGAUACUUUUAUUCUUGAGUUCGGGAGAGAGAGACGGAAUUCCAGGUGUAGUGGUGAAAUACGUAGAUAUCUGGAAGAACACCAGUUGCGAAGGCGGUCUCUUGGUCCGACACUGACGCUGAGGCGCGAAAGCGUGGGGAGCAAACA